AACGCAAAUUGCGCUCGAGGCUUCGGCCAAGAGCAUGCCUGCCUCAGCGUCGGGUUACUGUUGCAUCACCAAGGAUCUGAUUUCUCACAAGAACUCGGUGAAGGGUGGAUCUGGCUUUCUUCGAAUGACGUCUUUUUCCUUUACACAAAUAGGCAGAAAAACCAAUUGAAUACCUUUCUGAGCUGAGCUCAGGUAGGAUUACCCGCUGAACUUAA
rnacentral:misc_RNA from 1 species